UCCCUGGUGGUCCAGUGGCUAAGACUCCUUGCUCCCAAUUCAGGGGGCCCAGGUUUGAUCCCUGGUCAGGGAA
rnacentral:tRNA from 1 species